UACGUAGGGGGCGAGCGUUGUUCGGAAUUACUGGGCGUAAAGGGCGCGCAGGCUGUUCAAUAAGUCAGCUGUUAAAUCGUGUGGCUUAACCAUAUGAUGCAGUUGAAACUAUCGGACUGGAGUAUCGGAGAGGUAAGCGGAAUUCCCAGUGUAGCGGUGAAAUGCGUAGAUAUUGGGAAGAACAUCGGUGGCGAAGGCGGCUUACUGGCCGGUAACUGACGCUGAGGCGCGAAAGCCAGGGUAGC
rnacentral:rRNA from 1 species